rnacentral:rRNA from 1 species
GACGAACCGAGCGACCGUUGUUCGGAAUCACUGGGCUUAAAGGGCGCGUAGGCGGGUGCUCAAGUCCGUGGUGAAAUCCUCCGGCUCAACCGGAGAACUGCCUCGGAUACUGGGCGUCUCGAGUGUGGUAGGGGUAUGCGGAACUAUCGGUGGAGCGGUGAAAUGCGUUGAUAUCGAUAGGAACUCCGGUGGCGAAGGCGGCAUACUGGACCACCACUGACGCUGAUGCGCGAAAGCCAGGGGAGCAAACGGG